UCCCGUCCCAGCAUUGGCAGCACCAUCACCAGCACCGCCGGCCUCAGGACCAAGCCCACCACCAGCGGGCGUUGACGGAGGCGGGUGUGCGGCUCUGGCGCAGCUGAGCCGUCGACCGCCGGAGCCAAUCCGGCAGUCCGGCAUUUCAGCUGCCGCACACUCGCCCGUCACAGGAUCAGAGGCCUCCCGAGACAGCUUCCCGUUUCCGACCGGCUGAGACGGGUGAGCGGCGGUGACGCAGCUGAGACG